CAUAUCAAUAGGGCAGAGCAGAUAAAGAGGUGCCAGUAAUGACUCUGAGCCCCGGGGCUCCCACCCUGACAAACAUCAGCCCUUCAUUUACAACUCGUCAUACAGAGAAUUAGGGGGGCUGCUAAACUGACUCACACCCCCAACAUGCCCCGUCUGGGGUUUCUCUACCUUUUCCUCCUGCACCAAACUGUUCCCCCAGUGCUACUUAUCCCCAAUAAAGUUAUUCAGAGGAAGAAGGAGACCACUCUGAUCUGCAUGGCCAAUGGAUUCUACCCAGAAGAUAUUGAUAUAAUUUGGUAUAAAGACAAUAAGCACCUUAUUAACUCUGAGUUGGGCAAACCAGAGAGGAACCCAGAUGGCACAUACAGAGUGAAGGGCACCGUGACUUUACCUCCAAUGGAUGGAAAGAUGGACCAUAACUUCUCCUGCAGAGUCCAACACCUCUCUCUCCAGCAGCCUCUCCAGGAAGACUUCCAGCUGGAGUAUGAAGAUGGAAGCAGCAGUGCAUUGCCUGUGGCGUGUGGCAUAGCUGUGUUAUUGGCUGUACUGGUUAUUGUGGCUAUAAUAUGGAAGCGAAGGAAAAAAGCCACAUUCUCACUGAAACCAAUUGUGGGGCCAAGAACGCUGAUUUUUGGAGAGGAGACCAAACUGCAGUGCACUGGGACCAACUGCGCUAGUGAUGUGCAGGUCACCUGGUCAGUGAAGGGAGGAGGAAGUGAUGAGUGGAUUGUGAUAAACCAAUCGGGAGAGGAGGAGGCCACAGAACCUCUGCUCAUUGGUCAGUACGUGGGACAUUGUGAGAAGGAGGGAAAUAACCACAUAGCGACUCUGACUUUCACUCCGCACCUGGAAACUCACAAGGGAGCAACGUUUAGCUGUAAAUUUGUCAGUGGUGGGAAAAACAAAGAGGAACAUUUUCACACUAAAACUAUUCAAGCAAAGCCCAAGGUGCAGGAGCCAAUAAAUAUCACAUUCCAGGGGUUCCAGAAUCUGAACCUGACCCUAAACCUUCAGAGAUUUUACCCUAAAGACAUCAAGAUAAAGUGGGACUGUGGAGAGGAGACCCAACAACCUUCCAAGGAAAACUGGAGAGAAAACUCUGAUCUAACGUGGGACGUCACAAGUGUUUGUAGUGUCCCAAAGGGUCUCUUUAAGGAUAAAGCCUUCAGGGUGCGAGUGACCUGGGAACAUGAGUCAAUGGGUGACCCCGAAUCCAGAGAAGUAUCUGCGGCAGAUAUCCCCUUUCGUUGCACACUGCUUUAAGAAGGAAGAAGGAAAGAAGAAAACGUCUCCACUAGAUACAAAGACAAAUAGUCAUUUACUGACUCACAGGAGCAGGGGGAUAAGACUUUUACCUGUCACUCCAGUGUCACUUUUAUUCCUACAAACAAAUCUGAUCAUGAGGCAGAAUUUAUGUGCAGAGUGGAACAUCCCACUGGGACAGUAGAGAAGAGCUCAGGAGAGUUACAUGUAUAUUCACCAUCUAAAGUAAAACCUUGAUCUUCAACUAUCACUUUGCUGCAGGGCUGGAAAUGAGGGGCUCAUCUUCUCCCACAUCUGUUACUCAUGUAGUUGGGCAGUGAAUGUGGAUGGGACACUAUAGGGAAUAUUUAACCAACACACUGGUCUGGGAGGAGAAUGAAGAAUGUGUCCACUUUGCCAAGGAAACACCGAGACCAAGGGAUUUGCAGCAACGGGUCAGAUCUCAUCUCCACUUUUGAAUAAGAAGCCCAGGGACGUUCAUCUAACAAUAAAUCUCCACUACAUUGUGCAAAUAACUAUAUUGUAGGUAAAAACCAUUGGUAUUUGUAUGUGUUUUAGUACUUUGUGCUUGUGUUAGUAAACUGACUCUAUUUACCAAACAAAUGUCUUUAACCCAGGGGUGUAACUACAGAGGAAGCAGACCCUGCAACUGCAAGGGGGCCCAGGAAGUAUAGGGGCCUUAUGAGGCCAUAAUUAUUCAGCAAUUUUAACAUAUUUUGGCAAAAAAAAGGGCAACCUCUGGAUAUGUGGGGCCCAGUAACAUCUAUGUCACUGCUUUGACCCACACUGAAGGGAAAUGUUCCUGUUUGUGUCCAUGGCUUUUACUUCAUUCAGUAACCUGAGCUUCAAUUUAUCCAAAAGUCACAUGUGCACAUUGUGCCAAUAGCCAUCUGUAAUAAUCUGUCAGACUAUUGUGAUAUUAAAUAAUACCAAUUUCUAUAUA